rnacentral:rRNA from 1 species
GGUUUCCGUAGGUGAACCUGCGGAAGGAUCAUUAACGAUUGCACAAUUGCAGAUUCAUCAUGCUGCUCACUGUUUGAGCCGGAGCGCGCGCGCGCAGCAGUGCUCGAACCGUCUUAUGGCGAUACAGAGUGAUCAACGCUGCGUGUUGCGAGCUGUCUGACAAGAAACUCCUGACGAGCUCAGGAAGUCUGUUGCCGGAAGGCCAUCGUGGACGUGAGUGCCGCGAGAGUUUCAACUCCCCAUUCCUCACGAACGAUGUAAAACAAACACCCACUGGCCUCUCAUACAUUUUUACUUAUCUCUCGCCAUGGCAUACAGGCCUGGCAUCUGGUACGAGACUCUCGCAGUCUCAAAACCAUCAUACAACUCUGAGCGGUGGAUCACUUGGCUUGUGGAUGCUAUGAAGACCAUAGCUAAGUGUGAGAAUGGCAGCGAGCCGUCGCUAUAUGCGCUGUCCUCUUCUUAUCACAUGUCGAAUGCACAUUGCGCCCCACCCAGUUGGUCGGCUAAACAACCUGAAGACAAAAACCGGUUGAGAUGGAACAAAGGCAAAUGUGUGGCCUCCGAGCUUCGGCGGAGGAGCCAGGAGCACAGGCGCGUGCGUUUCAACACACUCGUGAGUAGUCAUAGCUGAACCCUAUGGUGGGGCACUCCUAGUCGAGUGUGGUGGAUCGGACUCAUCUCUUCCCUCGUUGGGCUAGAGCUUGAGUUACUUUGUUGCUGGUGGCAUUUUGGUCGACAUCAGUCGUGCCUGUAAACAACUGCCUUGGCUCGUGCCUCUGUGCGUGCGUCCUCACGUAGGCCACGUGCAUUGAAGGUUAUAGCUGGCGAUCACUCUUGCGACCAGGGCACCGACGCCGGUGCGCAGCGGUCCAAAAGGUAUAUACGAGGGUGUCGGAUCUCCAAACUUUGUUCAGCUUUGACAGACUGCAAAUCCUGCAGACACAGUCUCGCUGGUGAAGGUUGCUUCGUCUCUCGGUGUAUUCGAGAAUGACAACCUAACGAUUUUCACUCUUUGGACUGGAUGAAACUCCUGACGAGCUCAGGGUGGAACAGAGGGAUAAGCGGGGUCUCUGCACUGCUCGCAGCAUGUACGCGUGCUCGGGCUGUUUUGUUGAGACUUGCGCUAGCUUACACCUGACGAGUUCAGGAAAGCUCAGAGUGACUAAAUCAUCAUCACCAGCAGAGGCUUGCAGGGCCCGGUCGCUUUCUUGGCUGAUUGAUGAGACAGAGAUCUCGACGCUCCUGCCACCACCUCGACUUAGGAGAGGUUACCCGCUGAACUUAAGCAUAUCAGUAAGCGGAGGAAAAGAAACCAAUCAGGGAUUCCCUUAGUAGGGGCGACCGAACAGGGAUGAGCCCAGCGCAGAACCUCCCGGGCCACCCGGCCUGCGGCGGAAUGUUGCGUUAAGGGAAAGGUCGUAGUCAAACCCCACAGCCACGCGAGCUCUAAGUAAGCCACGAAUCGGCUGUCCCAACUAACGGCGGGAAAGUCUCCACGGAGGGUGUAAGACCCGUGUGGGCGCGUGUAAAUGCUGUGUGGGCUCGGCCUCUUUUCCCUGAGAGUCGCGUUGCUUGAGCAUGCAGCGCUAAGCAGGUCGUAAACUCGAUCUAAGGCUAAAUAUGUCCACAAGACCGAUAGCGAACAAGUACCGUGAGGGAAAGUUGAAAAGCACUCUGAAGAGAGAGUCAAAAGACC